ACGCAAUACACGGAACUUAAAAAGCCCUAAACAAAGACGACCAUUACAGUAACGUGCAGGAGCGUACUCAUAGAUUUAAGUAUAAAACACGUAACCAUGAUUUUGCUGCUUUGAGAUCCUAGAAUCUCUACUCUUGUUUUCAUGCCUUCAAUGUUUUAAUUUGUGUGAUUCCUUUUCUCACAGUUUUUGGUUGUAUAGUUUAUUAAUUAUGAUCUCUGCCGCUGGUUGGUUGUGACAGUAAUAGUAUAGGAUUAUUGAUAUCUUAAUCUAUUACUAAUAACGUACGGUGCGUAUUUAUGUUUUAGACUAAAGAAAAAACAUUGUGCAUGUAAGAAAGUGAGCAGUUAUUAGCUCUCUCCGAUUUCUCCCAAAUUUCUCUCAAAUUAAUUUGACGGAGAGAUGCUUUUGGAGCUAACUAAACCUAAGUUGAAGCUGAAGGUUGUGUAUCGUAAGGUCUCCGAUUACGAUCUGAAAGAAAUCGUCCUCUUCCUGAUCCUCCUCACGUCGAGCGAUUUCUCGUCUUUAAUCAGCACAGUUUUGAGAUGAUACAGAAUCUGGAAGCGUGUGAUUUCAUUUAUGUAUAUUGUGGAAUAUCUGGAAAACAAAUGUGAGAAUUCUCUAGUUUUGAGCAAAAAGUUUCGUCACAAGUCUGUACUUCCACUUCUCACUAUCAUCAGAGUGUUGAAGGAAGCUUCAAGGCUUUAUGCUGCAAGCUAGGUUCUGAAGUUCGUCCAAAUGAUUACAAGAAGCAAGGGGAUGCUGAACCUAAAAGACAAGUGAAAGAGACAGAGAGCGAGCCCUCUGUUUUGGAAGAUCUUGGCUAUUUAGGGAUUUGCAGACUAAUAAAACUCAGGGAGCUGGAUUUGAGCAGCAAUGCUUUAACAAGACUAUUUUACUAAGUAAGCUUAACAUGUUGAAACUAACUUAUAUAUUAUCUUGGGGGUUAUACAGGAUUCAAUUGUGGACGGUUAGGAAUGGGCCGAAUGGCGAAAGAUACUGCUAUCCGGCGAACUGCUGUAAAUUACCCUCCAAUGGUUGGUGCAUCCUUUGGAUUUAACUUGGUCAAUCCUUUGUUUUUAAUUUAUAAAUCCUUCUUUUUUGUAUUGAUGAAUCCUUUGUGUAAUCUUCAAAAAGUAUAUCCAAAAAAAAAAUUUUAAUCUUAAGACCUACUUAGAAGGA